ensembl:lncRNA
CUCACAUGAGUGACCAAACCCGCUGCACAGAGGAAGAGGCAGGAAGUUCCUUCUUUCACUUCCAGUCAUGCUGCAUUGGGCAGCUUGUGGUGGAACAGAAGGUCUCUGCAUGGUGGGCAGUGUGGGCGGACUUCGGGAUUCACCGUGAAAAACAAUAACGAGCCAAGGACACUUCCCAAGCAGGGGUUCAAAGAUAUGCGCUCAUGGGGCUGAUAUAUACGGGGCACCUCUGAGGCUCGUCUGACUGGGCCUGCCACUUGUGUUUUGUGUAGACGGAGCGAAAGGGAACGAGGAGACAAGGAUCAUGUCCUCUCUUGGAGAAGUGCUAACUUGGGCAGGGAAAGGAAUUUUUUGUGGUUUAUUCAGAGAGCGGCUCCAUCUGUGUAAACUGGCGCUUGCCAGGAUGUCGACUCCCUCGCUUUCUGCACAGACACACGCUUAACCCCUUCAACACCUUCUGCUCACCAUAUCUGCUAGUCACAGUCACAAACAAUUACACAGCUAACAAGAUAAUCUUACUUAAUAUUGCAAAGUAAAAAUUACAUCUUGCAAAAGCAGAAUCAACCAAAAACAAGACAAACCCUUUUGAAAAAGAAGUACACUACAGUAUACU